GUGCGAGCCGAAUGAAGCCUGCCAAGGCGUUCCACCUACGGACCCGACCUUUAGCCGACUUCUCUCGGACGAAUUCGUGUGUCUGGUAAAUCUUCAGCCGAUGAUGACAAGCAUGAUAGUGUACAACGACGUGGGGUGCUACCUCAGCAAACUGCUGAACCAGACGGAUUAUACGGGAUACCCGGUGACAGACCAGGUGGAAACUGUCCAGUCUCAGC